rnacentral:rRNA from 1 species
GAUGAACGCUGGCGGCGUGCCUAAUACAUGCAAGUCGAGUGAACAGACGAGGAGCUUGCUCCUCUGACGUUAGCGGCGGACGGGUGAGUAACACGUGGAUAACCUACCUAUAAGACUGGGAUAACUUCGGGAAACCGGAGCUAAUACCGGAUAAUAUAUUGAACCGCAUGGUUCAAUAGUGAAAGACGGUUUUGCUGUCACUUAUAGAUGGAUCCGCGCCGCAUUAGCUAGUUGGUAAGGUAACGGCUUACCAAGGCAACGAUGCGUAGCCGACCUGAGAGGGUGAUCGGCCACACUGGAACUGAGACACGGUCCAGACUCCUACGGGAGGCAGCAGUAGGGAAUCUUCCGCAAUGGGCGAAAGCCUGACGGAGCAACGCCGCGUGAGUGAUGAAGGUCUUCGGAUCGUAAAACUCUGUUAUUAGGGAAGAACAAAUGUGUAAGUAAAUAUGCACGUCUUGACGGUACCUAAUCAGAAAGCCACGGCUAACUACGUG